AAUCAACGCUGGCGGCGUGCCUAACACAUGCAAGGCGAACGAGAAAGUGGAGCAAUCCAUGAGUACAGUGGCGACCGGGUGAGUAACACGUGACUAACCUACCCUCGAGUGGGGGAUAACUCCGGGAAACCGGGGCUAAUACCGCAUAACAUCGCGAGGUGAAAUUCCCUGUGAUCAAAGUAGCAAUUCGCUUGAGGCGGGAGUCGCGUCUGAUUAGCUAGUUGGUGAGGUAACGGCCCACAAAGGCAAUGAUCAGUAGCCGGCCUGAGAGGGCGCACGGCCACACUGGAACUGAAACACGGUCCAGACUCCUACGGGAGGCAGCAGUGGGGAAUUUUGCGCAAUGGGGGAAACCCUGACGCAGCAACGCCGCGUGGAGGAUGAAGUCCUUUGGGAUGUAAACUCCUUUCGACCGGGACGAUAAUGACGGUACCGGAGGAAGAAGCACCGGCUAACUCUGUGCCAGCAGCCGCCGUAAAAC
rnacentral:rRNA from 1 species